GACGGGUGAGUAUGACUUAGGAUCUGCCAUUAGUGGGGGGCAACNUCGAAAGAAUGCUAAUACGCAUACGUCUACGGGAGAAGCAGGGAUCUUCGGACUUGCGCUAAAUGAUGAGCCUAAGUCGGAUACUAGUUGUGGUAAAGGCCUACAGGCGACAUCUGUACGGGUCUGAAGGAUGAUCCCGCCACACUGGAACUGAAACACGGGCCCAAACUCCUACGGAGCACUGGGGAAUAUUGGACAAUGGGCGGAAGCCUGAUCCAGCCAUGCCGCGUGUGUGAAGAAGGCCUUUUGGUUGUAAAGCACUUUAAGCGGGGAGGAGGCUACCUGGAUUAAUACUCUGGGAUAGUGGACGUUACUCGCAGAAUAAGCACCGGCUAACUCUGUGCCACAGCCGCGGUAAUACAGAGGGUGCGAGCGUUAAUCGGAUUUACUGGGCGUAAAGCGUGCGUAGCGGGCUUUUUAAGUCGGAUGUGAAAAUCCCCGAGCUUAACUUGGGAAUUGGAUUCGAUACCUGGGGAAAAGCCUUAAAAGUUAUUGGGAGAGGAUGGUAAGAAUUCCAGGUGUACGGGUGAAAUGCGUAAAGAAUCUGGAGGAAAU
rnacentral:rRNA from 1 species